UCACUGCCGUGGGAUGAUGAUGUGUGAU
rnacentral:piRNA from 1 species